rnacentral:rRNA from 1 species
UACGAAGGACCCGAGCGUUAUCCGGAUUUAUUGGGUUUAAAGGGUGCGUAGGCGGUUUAUUAAGUCAGUGGUGAAAGCCUUCAGCUUAACUGAAGAAUUGCCAUUGAUACUGAUGAUCUUGAGUAUGAUUGAGGUGGGCGGAAUAUGACAUGUAGUGGUGAAAUACAUAGAGAUGUCAUAGAACACCGAUUGCGAAGGCAGCUCACAAAGCUGUAACUGACACUGAGGCUCGAAAGUGCGGGGAUCAAACAGG